GACGAACGCUGGCGGCGUGCUUAACACAUGCAAGUCGAACGAAGUGGCGAACGGGUGAGUAACGCGUAAUCAACCUGCCCUUCAGAGGGGGACAACAGUUGGAAACGACUGCUAAUACCGCAUACUGAAGGAGGGGAUUGCGUUUGAUUAGCUAGUUGGAGGGGUAACGGCCCACCAAGGCGAGGAUCAGUAGCCGGUCUGGGAGGAUGGACGGCCACAUUGGGACUGGUAACCGGCCCAGACUCCUACGGGAGGCAGCAGUGGGGAAUCUUCCGCCAUGGGCGAAAGUCUGACGGAGCAACGCCGCGUGAGUGAUGACGGCCUUCGGGUUGUAAAGCUCUGUUAAUCGGGACGCGGUACCGGAAUAGAAAGCCACGGCUAACUACGUGCCAGCAGCCGCGGUAAUUC
rnacentral:rRNA from 1 species